rnacentral:lncRNA from 1 species
ACGCUACAGUGAUAGUAACAGGAAAGCCUCCACCAAGAAAGCAAAGCUCUCCCUCUCUUUCCCUUUUCCCCCCUUGCUCCUUCCCCUCCUCCCGCCCUGGCCUCACCCCUCAAUUCCUCUGCAGCUCCGAGUAGGGCAAGGAGAGGGCGCCUGUUUCUCAAAGAGUCCCACCAAGAAGCAGCGGGUGUUGGGCACGAGGAUUGGGGAUGGACUCGUGCUGCACGCGCGGAUUCCAGCUCGAGAGAUAAAGCCCUACUAAAAAAUGAGAUCAGGCAACUGACCCUAUUCUCUGUCCGGCCCGGAGCAGGGUGGGGGAGGCAGAUUAAGAGAGAGAUGGAAGAUAAAAAAAAAAAAAAAAAAAAAAAAAAAAGCAAAGCUGUGUGUGUGUGUGUGUGUGUGUGUGUGUGUGUGUGUGUGUGUCCGCGCGCGCCCCCCGUGCCCGCGGCUUUGAUGCUGAAACUCCCUGAGCUGGGCGUGUUUACUGAUUUUUUUUUCUUUGCCACGCAGAUGAGAUGCCAGACUGCCGAGGCCUUGAGAACGUUGGCUAAUCCUGGGCUUUGGGCUCAGUUACAACUCACAAGAUGAGAACAGGACCCAGACAGCAGGCAGUCCUGUCUUUAACCCUUGAUGCACCUGGCUCUUAAACUUCAAAUUAAGGCAAGAAUUAUACCGCUGGAACUCUCCCGCUGCCUAUUUAUAGCCUACUUUUAGAUAGAAUUCCUGUAUCACUCGAGUUCCAAAAUUUUCUGUGUGCUAUGGACACUUCCCCCUACCGCCCCCCCCCCCACAUUUCCCUAUUAUGUCAGUCAAGAGAGUCCUAUCCACCUCUUCUUAGAAAAAGGUUUUUUAAUGUAUCAAAAUUUUUAAAACACUUAAAAUUAUAA